ensembl:lncRNA
GGAAUCUCCUGGUGGUUCUACUCUGAACAGAGAAGGGUUUGAAACCAUUAAGCAGCAUUUCACAAACUGAUGCAACCAAAAACAAGAGACUGAGAAGCAAGAAGGUGAUUAAUCAUCUAGUUUAGGAUGGAGGUUCCAUCUUGAAGUUGAAAUAUGUUGGCAUAUUCGGCUCAGAAAGGAACACAAACAUGAAGAGAAUCAGUGAUACACCAGAACUUGAGACAUGACUUUCAAACUUCUGACUUCUACUGCUUCUUGGCUGUAACCCUGGACACAUUUCCUAACUUCCUAUGUAUUAAUUGCUUUAUUUGAAAACAGAGAUUGUAGUCCUUGCCUUUCAGAGCAUGAGUUCUUAUCCUUGGAAAUGUUACUGUUAAAGUUCAACUCCACAGAGGGUUGACACCAUCAAUUGUGUAUGAAAGCUAUAUAAUGAAUGAACACCAGCUGCC